rnacentral:sRNA from 1 species
GAACUGGGAAAAGCAGGGGAGCCUGUGCUGGGUGAGAUUAUCUGCAAUGGGCUGGGUUAAUGGGAGGCUUGCUUUGGCUCGCUGGAAGAACAAAUGAAGGGAGUUUUACUUCAACCAUUUGUGACUUCUGGCCAAGAGGAAUAAAUUCAGCUUUUAUAAGUGAGAUGAGCAUGAAGUGGUACAAAACUUAGAUUGAACAAGAGAGCAAGGGAAGCAACCAUGAAAAAGACAGUCUACAGCCAUACCACCCUGAAUGCGCUCAAUCUCAUCUAAUCUCAGAAAAAGAUAAAUUUCCAUGAAGAGCAGCAGUACCUGUCCAAAGAUCGCUUUAGUUCCACCUUGCUCCACAAGCAGCACAGCCACACUGGUUGGUGAGAAUGUAUCUGAAGAAGAGGCUCAGGGAAUAAAUGGGAACAGGCCAGCAAAACACUCAGCUGCAAGUCCAAAGCCACAAGUGCCUCCAAAGCCAUUACACCUGCAGAAUUCACCUUCGUCCAAUAUACACCAAACCCCCAGGCAUAAAGCUUUACCUAG